rnacentral:rRNA from 1 species
UACGGAGGGAGCUAGCGUUGUUCGGAAUUACUGGGCGUAAAGCGCACGUAGGCGGCUUUGUAAGUUAGAGGUGAAAGCCUGGAGCUCAACUCCAGAAUUGCCUUUAAGACUGCAUCGCUUGAAUCCAGGAGAGGUGAGUGGAAUUCCGAGUGUAGAGGUGAAAUUCGUAGAUAUUCGGAAGAACACCAGUGGCGAAGGCGACUUACUGGACACAUAUUGACGCUGAGGUGCGAAAGCGUGGGGAGCAAACAGG